AGCUUUGCGAAGUGGCAGUAUCAUAGCCAAUGAAGUUUACCUGAGGUGCAAUUAUUGCUAAUUGAAAAAAGAAAAAGAAAAUUUACUAGAUUAAUACAACUUGGGUAAAAUAGAAAACAAUUAUUGUAACUUUUUACAUAAU